UUGGCCUGGACUUUAUCUGGGGAAAAAUUGCUAUUUUUGUACCCCUGUAACCAUGAUUUCACUUAAUUGAUGAUUAUCUUUUAUACAGACCAAUAAAUUUUUGUGUGGAUUGAUGCAGAGGUAGAUUUGAGAAAGGAAUGGAAUUUUGCCCAUCGUGUGGAUUAUUGUUGCGAUACGAGUUGCCAAACAUGGGGCAGCCUUCCAGAUUCUAUUGCCCUACUUGUCCGUACGUCUGCUCCAUGGAGAGCAGGGUUAAGAUCAAGAGAAAGCAACAGCUAGUCAAGAAAGAAAUUGAGCCAGUUUUCACCCUCGACGACAUGACGAAGGGGGGUUCUGAAACUGAAGCAACAUGCCCACAUUGCAACUUUGGAAGGGCCCGUUACCAACAGCUACAGAUCCGGUCAGCUGAUGAGCCAGCAACAACAUUUUACUUUUGCUUGAAUGAGAAGUGCUCAAGGAUGUGGCGUGAGGACUAAAUAUUUUUUGUGGAUGUUUUAUUUUAAAGUUUUAAAGUUUUGCAAGGAGAUUCUUGCAUCUUCCAUGUUCAGAUGUCUCCUACUAUUUGAUGUGGUGGUCAAUAUUCAAGCGGUUAUUUUGGUCGUUAACUAGGCUGCUCAAUGAGUGAACACCAGCCAACAAAUGGAAAUGAUAAUGAAACUUUACAUGGACUUUUUGUUGGGACCUUUGUACAACAAUGCCAGGCUCUGCUUUGUUUGUUUAGACUUUAGUUAGCGUGGGAUUUUAAACUCUCUUUGGACAUGGUAGUGUUUUUAUUAAAUUAAAGAUUCUGGUUCUCAU
rnacentral:misc_RNA from 1 species